rnacentral:rRNA from 1 species
UCAGGCCUAACACAUGCAAGUCGAACGGUAACAGGUCUUCGGAUGCUGACGAGUGGCGAACGGGUGAGUAAUACAUCGGAACGUGCCCAGUAAUGGGGGAUAGCCCGGCGAAAGCCGGAUUAAUACCGCAUACGCCCUGAGGGGGAAAGUGGGGGACCGCAAGGCCUCACGUUAUUGGAGCGGCCGAUGGCUGAUUAGCUAGUUGGUAGGGUAAAGGCCUACCAAGGCGACGAUCAGUAGCUGGUCUGAGAGGACGAUCAGCCACACUGGGACUGAGGCACGGCCCAGACUCCUACGGGAGGCAGCAGUGGGGAAUUCUGGACAAUGGGGGAAACCCUGAUCCAGAAAGGCCGCGUGUGCGAAGAAGGCCUUCGGGUU